rnacentral:rRNA from 1 species
GAUGAACGCUGGCGGCGUGCCUAAUACAUGCAAGUCGAGCGAACAGAUGAGGAGCUUGCUCCUCUGACGUUAGCGGCGGACGGGUGAGUAACACGUGGAUAACCUACCUAUAAGACUGGGAUAACUUCGGGAAACCGGAGCUAAUACCGGAUAAUAUAUUGAACCGCAUGGUUCAAUAGUGAAAGACGGUUUUGCUGUCACUUAUAGAUGGAUCCGCGCCGCAUUAGCUAGUUGGUAAGGUAACGGCCUACCAAGGCAACGAUGCGUAGCCGACCUGAGAGGGUGAUCGGCCACACUGGAACUGAGACACGGUCCAGACUCCUACGGGAGGCAGCAGUAGGGAAUCUUCCGCAAUGGGCGAAAGCCUGACCGAGCCACGCCGCGUGAGUGAUGAAGGUCUUCGGAUCGUAAAACUCUGUUAUUAGGGAAGAACAAAUGUGUAAGUAACUAUGCACGUCUUGACGGUACCUAAUCAGAAAGCCACGGCUAACUACGUG